rnacentral:rRNA from 1 species
AGCUCCAAUAGCGUAUAUUAAAGUUGUUGCAGUUAAAAAGCUCGUAGUUGGAUCUAAGGAUUUGGACGGAUGGUUCGCUUUAGGGCGUGACUGUCUGUCUGGCCUACAUCAGUCGUGGAAGCCUUAAGUGCUCUUCACUGAGUGCUUUUGGUGCCCGACGCCAUUACUUUGAGAAAAUUAGAGUGCUUAAAGCAGGCAUAAUGCUUGUAUACUGUUGCAUGGAAUAAUAAAAUAGGAGUUUAUUUCUAUUUUGUUGGUAUUCGGAAGUGAACUAAUGAUUAACAGGAACAGACGGGGGCAUUUGUAUGGAGGCGCUAGAGGUGAAAUUCUGUGACCGUCUCCAGAUAAACUACUGCGAAAGCAUUUGCCAGGAAUGUUUUCAUUAAUCAAGAACGAAAGU